rnacentral:rRNA from 1 species
AUGAACGCUAGCUACAGGCUUAACACAUGCAAGUCGAGGGGCAUCAGUUUGGUUUGCUUGCAAACCAAAGCUGGCGACCGGCGCACGGGUGAGUAACACGUAUCCAACCUGCCUCAUACUCGGGGAUAGCCUUUCGAAAGAAAGAUUAAUAUCCGAUAGCAUAUAUUUCCCGCAUGGGUUUUAUAUUAAAGAAAUUCGGUAUGAGAUGGGGAUGCGUUCCAUUAGUUUGUUGGGGGGGUAACGGCCCACCAAGACUACGAUGGAUAGGGGUUCUGAGAGGAAGGUCCCCCACAUUGGAACUGAGACACGGUCCAAACUCCUACGGGAGGCAGCAGUGAGGAAUAUUGGUCAAUGGACGCGAGUCUGAACCAGCCAAGUAGCGUGAAGGAUGACUGCCCUAUGGGUUGUAAACUUCUUUUAUAUGGGAAUAAAGUUGUCCACGUGUGGAUUUUUGUAUGUACCAUAUGAAUAAGGAUCGGCUAACUCCGUGCCAGCAGCCGCGGUAAUACGGAGGAUCCGAGCGUUAUCCGGAUUUAUUGGGUUUAAAGGGAGCGUAGGCGGAUUGUUAAGUCAGUUGUGAAAGUUUGCGGCUCAACCGUAAAAUUGCAGUUGAUACUGGCAGUCUUGAGUGCAGUAGAGGUGGGCGGAAUUCGUGGUGUAGCGGUGAAAUGCUUAGAUAUCACGAAGAACUCCGAUUGCGAAGGCAGCUCACUGGAGUGUAACUGACGCUGAUGCUCGAAAGUGUGGGUAUCAAACAGGAUUAGAUACCCUGGUAGUCCACGCGGUAAACGAUGAAUGCUAGGUGUCGGGGAGCAAAGCUCUUCGGUGCCGCCGCAAACGCAUUAAGCAUUCCACCUGGGGAGUACGUUCGCAAGAAUGAAACUCAAAGGAAUUGACGGGGGCCCGCACAAGCAGUGGAGUAUGUGGUUUAAUUCGACGCAACGCGAAGAACCUUACCAAGUCUUGACAUCCUGCGACGCACAUAGAAAUAUGUGUUUCCUUCGGGACGCAGAGACAGGUGGUGCAUGGUUGUCGUCAGCUCGUGCCGUGAGGUGUCGGCUUAAGUGCCAUAACGAGCGCAACCCUUAUCUUCAGUUACUAACAGGUCAUGCUGAGGACUCUGGAGAGACUGCCGUCGUAAGAUGUGAGGAAGGUGGGGAUGACGUCAAAUCAGCACGGCCCUUACGUCCGGGGCUACACACGUGUUACAAUGGGGGGUACAGAAGGCCGCUACCUGGUGACAGGAUGCCAAUCCCAAAAACCUCUCUCAGUUCGGAUCGAAGUCUGCAACCCGACUUCGUGAAGCUGGAUUCGCUAGUAAUCGCGCAUCAGCCAUGGCGCGGUGAAUACGUUCCCGGGCCUUGUACACACCGCCCGUCAAGCCAUGAAAGCCGGGGGUACCUGAAGUACGUAACCGCAAGGAGCGUCCUAGGGUAAAACUGGUAAUUGGGGCU